rnacentral:lncRNA from 1 species
GAGGUGAACCUCCUACAGGACUGUCUGUGGGCCCAGGGCUUGGAAUGGACCCUCUUAGAACUUCGCUUCCGCUCCUUGAGGCUGCCUCUGUGGCCGCCCGAGGCCCCAGAGCUGUGAGACUUGGCAAAGUAAUUAAGACUGAGAACCCAACCGAGCGGAGCUGAGUAAAAGGUGGGCGGGCCCAUCCCACAGGCCAAAUGUUUUGGAAAGGCAAAAGCAGGAGAGUUGGAGAAACUAGUAGCUGCUGUGAGACAGAGGCUGUAGGUAGAGAUGUCCCUCAGCUCUAAGAAAGCCAAGGGAAAGACAGAACACAUCUUCACAGCUGCAGACUUCAACCAAGAAGGUGCACGGGGAUUAUCCUUUUUCUGGCCACAAACAGAAAUAUGUGCUGAAAGAUCAGUGAAUUUGAAGUUGCUGGAAAAAAGAGACUGAUACACAGCUGAAUUACAGGAGGCUUAAUGAUUCACAUAUGAAAGAGAGGCCAGAGACAAAAGCUUAUUUCUCCAGUUCAUUCAAGAAAAUGUGUGGGGCCUUCCCUGGUGGCUCAGUGGUAAAGAAUCUGCCUGGCCAGUGCAGGAAAUGUGGGUUUGAUCCCUAAUGCAGGAAGAUCCCACAUGCUGUGGAGCAACUAAGCCUAUGCACCAGAACUACUGAGCUUGUGCU